rnacentral:rRNA from 1 species
GACGAACGCUGGCGGCGUGCUUAACACAUGCAAGUCGAACGGAAGGGCCCUGCUUUUGUGGGGUGCUCGAGUGGCGAACGGGUGAGUAACACGUGAGUAACCUGCCCUGGACUUUGGGAUAACUUCAGGAAACUGGGGCUAAUACCGGAUAGGAGCUCCUGCUGCAUGGUGGGGGUUGGAAAGUUUCGGCGGUUGGGGAUGGACUCGCGGCUUAUCAGCUUGUUGGUGGGGUAGUGGCUUACCAAGGCUUUGACGGGUAGCCGGCCUGAGAGGGUGACCGGCCACAUUGGGACUGAGAUACGGCCCAGACUCCUACGGGAGGCAGCAGUGGGGAAUAUUGCCCAAUGGGCGGAAGCCUGAUGCAGCAACGCCGCGUGCGGGAUGACGGCCUUCGGGUUGUAAACCGCUUUCGCCUGUGACGAAGCGUGAGUGACGGUAAUGGGUAAAGAAGCACCGGCUAACUACGUG